UACGUAGGGGGCAAGUGUUGUCCGGAUUUAUUGGGCGUAAAGAGCGUGUAGGCGGCCAGGUAGGUCAGCUGUGAAAACUCGAGGCUCAACCUCGAGACGCCGGUUGAAACCAUCUGGCUAGAGUCCGGAAGAGGAGAGUGGAAUUCCUGGUGUAGCGGUGAAAUGCGCAGAUAUCGGGAAGAACACCCGUGGCGAAGGCGGCUCUCUGGGACGGUACUGACGCUGAGACGCGAAAGCGUGGGGAGCGAACAGG
rnacentral:rRNA from 1 species